GAUGAACGCUGGCGGCGUGCCUAAUACAUGCAAGUCGAGCGAACAGAUGAGGAGCUUGCUCCUCUGACGUUAGCGGCGGACGGGUGAGUAACACGUGGAUAACCUACCUAUAAGACUGGGAUAACUUCGGGAAACCGGAGCUAAUACCGGAUAAUAUAUUGAACCGCAUGGUUCAAUAGUGAAAGACGGUUUUGCUGUCACUUAUAGAUGGAUCCGCGCCGCAUUAGCUAGUUGGUAAGGUAACGGCUUACCAAGGCAACGAUGCGUAGCCGACCUGAGAGGGUGAUCGGCCACACUGGAACGGAGACACGGUCCAGACUCCUACGGGAGGCAGCAGUAGGGAAUCUUCCGCAAUGGGCGAAAGCCUGACGGAGCAACGCCGCGUGAGUGAUGAAGGUCUUCGGAGCGUAAAACUCUGUUAUUAGGGAAGAACAAAUGUGUAAGUAACUAUGCACGUCUUGACGGUACCUAAUCAGAAAGCCACGGCUAACUACGUG
rnacentral:rRNA from 1 species